rnacentral:rRNA from 1 species
AACGAACGCUGGCGGCAUGCCUAACACAUGCAAGUCGAACGAUUGCCUUCGGGUGAUAGUGGCGCACGGGUGCGUAACGCGUGGGAAUCUGCCCUUAGGUUCGGAAUAACAGCUGGAAACGGCUGCUAAUACCGGAUGAUAUCGCGAGAUCAAAGAUUUAUCGCCUGAGGAUGAGCCCGCGUUGGAUUAGGUAGUUGGUGGGGUAAAGGCCUACCAAGCCGACGAUCCAUAGCUGGUCUGAGAGGAUGAUCAGCCACACUGGGACUGAGACACGGCCCAGACUCCUACGGGAGGCAGCAGUGGGGAAUAUUGGACAAUGGGCGCAAGCCUGAUCCAGCAAGGCCGCGGGAGUGAUGAAGGCCCUAGGGUUGUAAAGCUCUUUUACCCGGGAAGAUAAUGACUGUACCGGGAGAAUAAGCCCCGGCUAACUCCGU